rnacentral:tRNA from 1 species
GCCGGCUUAGCUCAGCUGGUAGAGCAGCGGUUUUGUAAACCGAAGGUCGGGGGUUCGAAUCCCUCAGCCGGCACCA